AUGCAAGUCUCAGCGCAAAUGGAAUCCAAACAGUUGGUCUGUGAAUGGCUCCUUACAUCAGUAGUCAUCCCAGUGAUAGAGUGUGACUGAUCUCUCAUCUCCCUCUGUGAGAGAAGGGCAACAGGAGGAUCCCCUUGGACAUCCUCAAAAACCUUGUGGCUAAUACACGUGUGCAUCAACCUGCCACCUCUCAAUGCCAGCAGGACCAGUGUAAGUCCCUCUUCCCAGCAAUGGGUGGGGCAGGGUGGAUCUGGCUGGUGGUGGGUUGCAGACAGCUGGAAAUCCCAAGACUGGUGCCAGAAAGAGUACUCUCUCAGCAAAAUGGCAGCUAAUCCAGGCAGAAUCAGGCUGUUCCUGUGUCAAUCAAUCUCUCUAUUCCUUCAACACAGGAACCUGUCAAAAGUCUCAUUGGACCCCAGCAUUGGCUGAUCUCUGCUCCACCCUCUGGGUUGGACAGAAAUUCCCAAAGUGGAAAGGCUUGAUCACUCAGAACUUCUGACCUAUCAGCUUGGACUGUGGUGUAGUGGACCACAGUGGCAUUGACGGGUAACAGAGAAUCAGGGUUCGAUUCUGGAGAGGGAGCCUGAGAGAUGGCUACCACUACCAAGGUGGGCAGCAGGCGCGCAAAUUGCCCAAUACAGAUAAAACCUCCUUGUGAGGCAGCGACGAACUGCAGCAACCCUUCUGGUUUCACAACCAGGUGGAGAAGUGGAAUGGAUGCUAUGCAAACACAGUCAUGAGCAACAACUGGAGGGCAAGUCUGGUGCCAGCAGCCGCGGUAAUUCCAGCUCCAGAGGCAUAUACUAACAUUGCUGUUGUUAAAACACUUGUAGUCUGCCUGAGGGCUGCAGGUCUGCCAGGGUUCCAGUGUGGUGUGGGGUUUUCCCCUGCACCCUCCCUCCCAGGGCUGGAUUCAACCCCUGGACAGUAUGUCCCUGCUCCCACUACCGUCUCACUUCCCAAAAGGACUGUCAGACAGAUGGUGAAAGGAUUGUCCCUGCUGCAAGCCUCCUUCAGUGGAGGUCAAAGUGGUGCUUGCACCCAAGGCAUGUUGUGAUAACAGAGACCCUGUCACAAGGCAAGAUGGAGCCAUCACCCUAUCUGUGUGUCAAUGGAACAACUCCAGCCCACCUCCGGGACCCACCAUCAGGCAACCCUGGAAAACUCAGUGUGUUCAAAGCAUCUUGGCCAAUCAGGAUUGGAACCUGUUCUGAUCCACUAGAAAUGAGGACGAAUGCUCAUCCAUGGAAUUGCACAGCAUCGACCAGACUCAGAAUCACAGCCAAAGUGUUACUUGCCAUGGGUACCACCACCCAGCUCACAGUCUGGGUGUUCUUGUGUGUCCUGGCUGUGGAAAUGCUAUUGGUGUUGAUUGGGGCAACACCAUUCUGCCAGUCUUGGUGCCAAUCAGGAGAAUGUGGGGCUGGGCCUCAGGCCUGCAAGGGUUGUGACUGCUUCAUGCAGCCUCACACACCCUUCAGCCUGUGUCCAUGCUCAGCCCUUGACGUCAGUGAUGGGACUGCUCAGGGUGGAAGGUACAGCAGCGCCAGAGGUGAAAUUCUUAGACCGCUGCUAGACCAACAGCAGCGAAGGCGUUCUGCAAGUGCAUGUCCGUCGAUCAAGAAUGAGAGCUUGGGGAACGAAGAUGAUCAGACACCGUUGUAGUCCAAUGCUGUAAACCAUGUCAGCUCGGGGUUGGAUGGGCAAAAGACCUUCUUGCCACCCAUUCAGCCCCAUGCCCCCUUCAACGAGAAAUCCAAGCCUGUGGAUUCAGGGGGGAGUACUGUUGCAAGGCUGAAACUUAAAGGAAUUGACGGAAUGGCACCACAAGGUGUGGAGUAUGCGGCUUAAUUUGACUCAACACGGGAAAUGUUACCAGGUCAGGACAUUGCCAGGAUGGACAGAUUGAGAGCUCUUUCUUGAUUCUUUGGAUGGUGGUGCAUGGCCGCUCGUGAUUGGUGGAGUGAUUUGUCUGGUUGAUUCCGAUAACGAGUGAGAUCUCUGCCUCCCUGUAGGCCACCCACUCGCGUCUGUAGGGUGGACAGCUGGAUGGAGGGCCAACCAUCCCCACCCUGGCAAAUGCAGUUGAUAUGUGCUAUUCCUGUCUCAUUCCAGUGGACCCAUCAGUCUGUGGAAAGAUCCUGUCAGCCAUGCAGAUCCCAUGCAGCACCAAAAGGGGUACUUGCUCAGCCAAAGGUGGAGUUUCUGGAUCCUGGACCCACAGGGGGGUCACCAUGCCCCCACCAGGACAGAACGCUUCACACAUUCCUGGUGUUGUUCCUGCAUGUUGGAUGGCUCCCAGGCUGCUUGGGCCCCAGUCAAGAAGGACUGUCUCUGUGCCAACAAAAGGGUGUUCCCACAUGUGGUGGUUUGGAUUUCUCUGCCAGUUUGUCCCCUGAGAGUGGGCUGUGUUGAGAAUGUCUGGUGCACUCAGCAUUAGCUUCCCUGAGGUGCCGUGGCUGUAUCAAAAGCCAUGCAUGCGAGAGCCAACAGCAGGUCUGUGAUGCUCCCAGAUGUCCUGGGCCGCACGCGCACUACAUUGACACAGUGAAUGUGCCCUAUAUGCUCCUGUCUCAUUCCCUCUGUGAGCCCUGACCCGAUGGGGUUGGGAAAUCAUUCAAGUCUGUGCUGUGCUGGGGAUAGAUGUUUGCAACUAUCUGCCUUGAACGAGGAAUACCUAGUAAGGUUCUGUCAUCAGCAGAGCCUGAUUGUGUCCCUGCCAUUUGUACACACCGCCCGUCGUUGCUACCGAUGGGAUCAGAACAGAGCCCCAAGGAGACCCAAGCCAAGCAGAUCCCUUCCCCUCUGGUUGUGGCCCACUACUUCCAGUGGAGAUCCAAAGGGACUUUAUCUCACAGGGUCAAACCUGGGCAAUGUUCAGUUCCUAGAGGAAGCAAAA
rnacentral:rRNA from 1 species